UACGUAGGGUGCAAGCGUUAAUCGGAAUUACUGGGCGUAAAGCGUGCGCAGGCGGUUGUGCAAGACAGAUGUGAAAUCCCCGGGCUCAACCUGGGAAUUGCAUCUGUGACUGCACGGCUAGAGUGUGUCAGAGGGGGGUAGAAUUCCACGUGUAGCAGUGAAAUGCGUAGAGAUGUGGAGGAAUACCGAUGGCGAAGGCAGCCCCCUGGGAUAACACUGACGCUCAUGCACGAAAGCGUGGGGAGCAAACAGG
rnacentral:rRNA from 1 species